rnacentral:rRNA from 1 species
UACGUAGGGUGCGAGCGUGGUCCGGAAUUACUGGGCGUAAAGAGCUCGUAGGCGGUGUGUCGCGUCGGCCGUGAAAACCUGGGGCUUAACUCUGGGCGUGCGGUCGAUACGGGCAUCACUAGAGUUCGGCAGGGGAGACUGGAAUUCCUGGUGUAGCGGUGAAAUGCGCAGAUAUCAGGAGGAACACCGGUGGCGAAGGCGGGUCUCUGGGCCGAUACUGACGCUGAGGAGCGAAAGCAUGGGUAGCGAACAGG